ACGAACGCUGGCGGCGUGCUUAACACCUGCAAGUCGAACGGUGAAGCGCCUUCCUUUUUGGUGGGUGUGGAUGAGUGGCGAACGGGUGAGUAACACGUGAGUAACCUGCCCCCUUCUUCUGGAUAACCGCAUGAAAGUGUGGCUAAUACGGGAUAUUCUGGGUCUGUCGCAUGAUGGGUCUGGGAAAGAUAUUGUUUCGGUGGGGGAUGGGCUCGCGGCCUAUCAGCUUGUUGGUGGGGUGAUGGCCUACCAAGGCGGUGACGGGUAGCCGGCCUGAGAGGGUGGACGGUCACACUGGGACUGAGACACGGCCCAGACUCCUACGGGAGGCAGCAGUGGGGAAUAUUGCACAAUGGGCGCAAGCCUGAUGCAGCGACGCCGCGUGAGGGAUGGAGGCCUUCGGGUUGUGAACCUCUUUCGCCAGUGAAGCAGGCCUGCCUCGUUUGUGGGUGGGUUGACGGUAGCUGGAUAAGAAGCGCCGGCUAACUACG
rnacentral:rRNA from 1 species